UAUGUACAAAUAAAUUAAUAUAAAAGAACGUUGAUAAGUUCAUGAUAAAAAAUAAUAAAAUAAAUAAAUAAAUAAGUAAAAUAAAAAUUUAUUUUUUUAUUUUUCAUUUACAAUGAAAUAAAAAAAAAAAAAAAAAAAUUAACAUAGUAUAACACAUGAAUAUAUAUAUAUAUAUAUAUAUAUAUAUACCACUUGUAAGUUCACAUAUAUAUAUUUAUAUAUUAUGUUUAGUUAAUAUACUGAUAUAUUCGUACACACUUUUGCAUAUAUAAAUACCACUUAAUAGUUAUAAACGAUUUAUAUUUAUAAUAAAUUGUAUUUUUUUUUUUUUUUUACUUUUUAGGUUUUACUUUUUGUUUAUUUUGAGCUGGUUUGUUUGGUGUUUUAUUAUUUUUUUGCUUUGUCAGUUUUUGGCUUGUCAGUUUUUGGCUUGUCAGUUUUUGCUUUGUCAUUUUUUUGGCUUGUCAGUUUUUGCUUUGUCAGAUUUUGGCUUGUCAGUUUUUUCCUUAUUUAUUUUUUUUUUAGCAAUUUUAUUUUUUUUAUCUUUUUUGGUUUUGAGUUUUGAAAUAGUUUUAAUAGUUUUUUUUUUUUUUUUUUUUUUUUUUUUUUUUUUAUUUUACAGCACAUAGCCCUCGAAUGUAGCAAUAAUUUUACAUCCUUGUUAAUAACUGAUUUGCUAAAACAAGUACAAAAUUGUUAUAUUUGUAAAAUUACCUUUAUAAAUAGUUACGACCAAAAAGUAAUAAAUUAUUUGUUUUCCUUAAAAAAAAAAAUGCA
rnacentral:lncRNA from 1 species